rnacentral:rRNA from 1 species
AGAGUUAAAUAGUACGUGAAAUUGCUAAAAGGGAAACGAUUGAAAUCAGUGUUGGCUGCAGGAAAUCAGCCAGUCAGAAAUGGCUGGUGCACUUUCCUGUAGUCAGGUCAACAUCAGUUUCAGGUAGGGUAAAUUAAUGCAGGAAGGUGACUCCCUUGGGAGUGUUAUAGCCUGUAUGAGUGCCCUGGCAGGGACUGAGGACUGCAGUGCAUGCCUUUGGCUGGCGAACCAGGCGCUACUGAUUGACUGAGCAGUGACAGCAUGCUGACUCUGGCUAGUAGGUCAGUACACGCGUGGCUAGUACAAAUGCACUAAGGAUGUUGACGAAAUGGUUUUAAAUGACC